rnacentral:rRNA from 1 species
GACAGAGGGGGCAAGCGUUGCUCGGAAUCACUGGGCGUAAAGGGCGCGUAGGCGGGAUGGCAAGUCAGUCGUGAAAUCUCUCGGCUCAACCGAGAAACGUCGGCUGAUACUGCCGUUCUUGAGGGAUGCAGAGGAGACUGGAAUUCCCGGUGUAGCGGUGAAAUGUGUAGAGAUCGGGAGGAACACCGGUGGCGAAGGCGGGUCUCUGGGCAUCUCCUGACGCUGAGGCGCGAAAGCCAGGGGAGCAAACGGG